rfam:Myotis davidii contig78510, whole genome shotgun sequence.
GGUGGUUCUCCGGUGACACACCCCAGAAUUGGUCUCCCUCCUCUCUGGUUCCAGGUGUGUCACCUGAGAACGGCA